GGGCGUAAGGGCUCGCAGGCGGUUUUCUUAAGUCUGAUGUGAAAGCCCCCGGCUCAACCGGGGAGGGUCAUUGGAAACUGGGGAACUUGAGUGCAGAAGAGGAGAGUGGAAUUCCACGUGUAGCGGUGAAAUGCGUAGAGAUGUGGAGGAACACCAGUGGCGAAGGCGACUCUCUGGUCUGUAACUGACGCUGAGGAGCGAAAGCGUGGGGAGCGAACAGGAUUAGAUACCCUGGUAGUCCACGCCGUAAACGAUGAGUGCUAAGUGUUAGGGGGUUUCCGCCCCUUAGUGCUGCAGCUAACGCAUUAAGCACUCCGCCUGGGGAGUACGGUCGCAAGACUGAAACUCAAAGGAAUUGACGGGGGCCCGCACAAGCGGUGGAGCAUGUGGUUUAAUUCGAAGCAACGCGAAGAACCUUACCAGGUCUUGACAUCCUCUGACGAUCCUAGAGAUAGGACGUCCCCUUCGGGGGCAGAGUGACAGGUGGUGCAUGGUUGUCGUCAGCUCGUGUCGUGAGAUGUUGGGUUAAGUCCCGCAACGAGCGCAACCCUUGAUCUUAGUUGCCAGCAUUCAGUUGGGCACUCUAACGUGACUGCCGGUGACAAACCGGAGGAAGGUGGGGAUGACGUCUAAUCAUCAUGCCCCUUAUGACCUGGGCUACACACGUG
rnacentral:rRNA from 1 species